rnacentral:rRNA from 1 species
GAGUACCACGGGACACGUGAAACCCUGUGGGAAGCAGGAGGGACCACCCUCCAAGGCUAAAUACUACCUAGUGACCGAUAGCGUAUAGUACCGUGAGGGAAAGGUGAAAAGAACCCCGGGAGGGGAGUGAAAUAGAACCUGAAACCCUGCACUUACAAGCUGUGGAAGCACAUUUCUUGUGUGACCGCGUACUUUUUGUAGAACGGGCCAACGAGUUACGUUAAGUAGCAAGGUUAAGCACUUAAGGUGCGGAGCCGUAGCGAAAGCGAGUUUUAACUGAGCGUUCAGUUACUUGACGUAGACCCGAAACCGGGCGACCUACCCAUGAGCAGGAUGAAGCGAAAGUAAAAUUUCGUGGAGGUCCGAACCCACGAGCGUUGAAAAGCUCGGGGAUGACUUGUGGGUAGCGGUGAAAUUCCAAUCGAGCCCGGAGAUAGCUGGUUCUCCCCGAAAUAGCUUUAGGGCUAGCCUCAAGGUGAGAGAUACGGAGGUAGAGCACUGAAUGUCCUAGGGGGUAUUGCACCUACCGAAGACUAUCAAACUCCGAAUGCCGUCAUCUUAUACUUGGGAGUCAGACUGUGGGUGAUAAGAUUCAUAGUCGAAAGGGCAACAGCCCAGAUCGUCAGCUAAGGUCCCUAAAUGUAAGUUAAGUGGUAAAGGAUGUGGGAUUGCACAGACAACCAGGAUGUUGGCUUAGAAGCAGCCACUCAUUCAAAGAGUGCGUAAUAGCUCACUGGUCGAGUGAUCCUGCGCCGAAGAUUUCCGGGGCUAAAACUUACUACCGAAGCUACGGCAUCAGUAAUGAUGGGUAGGGGAGCUUCCCAUACGGGUUGAAGCAUGACCGUAAGGACAUGUGGACAGUAUGGGAGUGAGAAUGUUGGCAUGAGUAGCGAGAUGUGGGUGAGAAUCCCACAGG